UACGUAGGGGGCGAGCGUUGUCCGAAGUUACUGGGCGUAAAGCGCGCGUAGGCGGCUUUUUAAGUCUGAGGUGAAAGGUUCAACGCUCAACGUGAACAGUGCCUUGGAUACUGGAAGGCUUGAGUAUGGGAGAGGGCAGUGGAAUGGCUGGUGUAGCGGUGAAAUGCGUAGAUAUCAGUCGGAACACCCAUGGCGAAGGCAGCUGCCUGGCCUAAUACUGACGCUGAGGUGCGAAAGCGUGGGGAGCGAACGGG
rnacentral:rRNA from 1 species